GACAGAGCAAGAUCCCAUCUCAAAAAAAUAAAAAAAUAUAUAUAUAUAAAUUAAAAAUAUGUGUAUUCUGUGGUUGUAGGGUACAGUGUUCUGUAGAUGGGUGUUAGGUCUAGUGGUAUAGGGUGCAGUGUUCUGUUCAUUGGGGUUAGGUCUAGGUGGUUGGUAGUGUUGUGUUCUGUAGUUGUAGGGUGCAGUGUUCUGUAGAUGGAUGUUAGGCCUAGGUGGUGUAGGGUGCAGUGUUCUGUAGAUGGGUGUUAGGUCUAGGUGGUGUACGGUGCAGUGUCCUCUAGACGGGUGUUAAGUCUAGGUGGUUGUAGGGUGCGGUGUUCUGUAGAUGGGUAUGGGUGUUAAGUCUAGGUGGUUGUAGGGUGUGGUGUUCUGUAGAUGGGUGUUAGGUCUAGGUGGUGUAGUGUGUAGUGUCCUGUAGAUGGGUGUUAAGUCUAAGUGGUUGUAGGGUGCAGUGUCUUGUAGAUGGGUGUUAGGUCUAGGUGGUUGUAGGGUGCAGUGUUCUGUAGAUGGGUGUUAGGUCUAGGUGGUGUGGCAUGCAGUGUCCUGUAGAUGGGUGUUAAGUCUAGGUGGUGUAGGGUGCAGUGUCUAUAGGUGGGUGUUAGGUCUAGGUGGUGUAGUGUGCAGUGUUCUGUAGAUGGGUGUCAGAUCUAGGUGGUGUCAGGUGCAGUGUCUGUAGAUGGGUGUUAGGUCUAGGUGGUAUAGUGUGCAGUGUUCUGUGGAUUGGUGUUAGGUCUAGGUGGUAUAGGAUACAGUAUUCUGUAGAUGGGUGUUAGGUCUAGGUGGUGUAGGGUAGUGCUCUGCAGAUUGGUUUUAGGUCUAGGUGGUUUUAGUGUGUUCAAGUCUUAUGUUUUACUAUUGAUUUGCUGCCUACUUCUAUCCAUUAUUGAAAGUGGGAAUUGAAGUCCAACUAUUGCUGUUGAGUUGUCUUCUCCCUUUAUUUCUGUCAGCCUUUGCUUCCUGUAUUUUGGUGCUCUACUUUUUUCAUAUAUGUUUAGAACUUUUAUGUCUUUCUGAUGGAGUAACCUUUUUCCAAUUAUAAAGUAUCCUGCUUUAUUAGGAAAUAGUAUCUUAGACCCAGACAAUCUCUUGGCUCCCAAGCCCAUGCUCUGAUGCCCGUACCAGCUGCCCUGUCCCUGAAGGUGUGUCCUCUCUAUUUCUCUACCUCCUGUAUCCUCAUUCGUUUUGGACUCACCUAAGUGAUCUUUGUCAACUUGGUCUUCCUGUCCUGGAUCUUGAUAAGACCAGCUGAAAUUUUAUUCCCUACUCUGAGGAAAUCCUCAGCCCUUCCCUAGAUGCCUGUAGAUUCCUAGAAGUUCCCAUUUUCCAUCAUCUUGGCCUUUGGGGCCUGCUUUCCUACAGCAUACCCUGGUGCCGUGUAGUUGCUAUGGCUUGAAUGUGCCCCAAGAGCAACGUUCAUGUGUUGUAAACUUAAUCCCCAAUGCAAUAGUGUUGAGAGAUGGGACUUUUCAGAGGCUCUGCCCUCACAAAUGGAUUAAUGCUGUUACCACAGCGGUGGAUUCCUGAUAAAAGGUGAGUUCAGCACCCUCUUGCCUUCUCUCCUGUGUACUCUCUCACCAUGUGAGACCUUCCGCCAUGAAAUGAGGCAGCAAGAAGGUCCUCACAGAUGUAAUUCCUUGAUCUUGGACUUCCCACCCUCCAGAACUGUGAGCCAGCUCUGUUCAUUAUAAGUUACCAGUGUCAGGUAUUCUAUCACAGAAGCACAAAAUUGACUAAGUUGGUAGUUUUCACAAUUCUGUUUCCCAUUCGUCUCCGCCAGGCUCCCCUUAGACUCCCUAGUCACUAAAUCUUGGUAACACAAGUGAGCCCUUUACUGUGGGAGGUGAGAGGAAAGGCACAAUUUACAGAAACACAGAGGUCAGGUUCCUUUUCUCCAUCCUUGGGCAUCCUCUGGGCCCUGGCUUUAUAGGGUUUGACUCAUCCUACCAGCACCCAGCCUCCUGUCACUGUCGCCUGCUCCUGGCUCUGCUCGCCUCUUCCCUCCAUUUCCCAGCCCUGCUUUCCUCUCUGGAGCAAAAGCACUUCUCUCCCUCUGCCUCCUGAAGAGCCAUUUGAUGGCUGCUUUUGUUGUCGUCGUUUCUUUGGCCCCUCCAGGGUCAGGUUCUAACUGUCUUCCUUGGUCUAGCCCGUAGUAAUUUAGUAAGAGGGAUAUGGAGGCAGUUAGGUAAGAAAACUUCCCACCUGGCUUCCCAUGCUGCCUUUUUUUUUUUUUUUUUU